UGCAGUCGAACGGCCGUAGCAAUACGGCAGUGGCAGACGGGUGAGUAACACGUGGGAAUGUACCCUUCGGUUCGGAAUAACCCAGGGAAACUUGGGCUAAUACCGAAUACGCCCUUACGGGGAAAGAUUUAUCGCCGAAGGAUCAGCCCGCGCCCGAUUAGCUAGUUGGUGAGGUAAUGGCUCACCAAGGCUCCGAUCGGUAGCUGGUCUGAGAGGAUGAUCAGCCACACUGGGACUGAGACACGGCCCAGACUCCUACGGGAGGCAGCAGUGGGGAAUAUUGGACAAUGGGCGCAAGCCUGAUCCAGCCAUGCCGCGUGGGUGAUGAAGGCCCUAGGGUUGUAAAGCCCUUUCGGCGGGGAAGAUAAUGACGGUACCCGCAGAAGAAGCCCCGGCUAACUUCGUGCCAGCAGCCGCGGUAAUACGAAGGGGGCUAGCGUUGCUCGGAAUCACUGGGCGUAAAGCGCACGUAGGCGGAUCUUUAAGUCAGUGGUGAAAUCCCGGAGCUCAACUCCGGAACUGCCUUUGAUACUGGGGAUCUUGAGUCCGGGAGAGGUGAGUGGAACUGCGAGUGUAGAGGUGAAAUUCGUAGAUAUUCGCAAGAACACCAGUGGCGAAGGCGGCUCACUGGCCCGGUACUGACGCUGAGGUGCGAAAGCGUGGGGAGCAAACA
rnacentral:rRNA from 1 species